rnacentral:rRNA from 1 species
GAUGAACGCUGGCGGCGUGCCUAAUACAUGCAAGUCGAGCGAACAGAUGAGGAGCUUGCUCCUCUGACGUUAGCGGCGGACGGGUGAGUUACACGUGGAUAACCUAUCUAUAAGAUUGGGAUAACUUCGGGAAACCGGAGCUAAUACCGGAUAAUAUAUGCAACCGUAUGGUUUAAUAGUUAAAGACGGUUUUGCUAUCCAUUAUAGAUGGAUCCGCGCGGCAUUAGUUAGUUGGUAAGGUAACGGCUUACCAAGGCAAGGAUGCGUAGCCGACCUGGGAGGGUGAUCGGCCACACUAGAACUGAAACACGGUCCAGACUCCUACGGGAGGCAGCAGUAGGGAAUCUACCGCAAUGGGCGAAAGCCUGACGGAGCAACGCCGCGUGAGUGAUGAAAAUCUUCGGAUCGUAAAACUCUGUUAUUAGGGAAGAACAAAUGUGUAAGUAACUAUGCACGUCUUGACGGUACCUAAUCAGAAAGCCACGGCUAACUACGUG